rnacentral:misc_RNA from 1 species
UAUGGGUUGGGAGGCCGCCGC